UUCAAACCAAAGGAAUGCACAAUCUCUUCAAUGAAAUAAUAUCAGAAAAUUUCCCAAACAUGAAGAAUAUAUUGGAAAGUCAAAUACAAGAGGCCUAAAAGACACCAAAUGUAUAAACUGACAACAGAUAUACACCAAAGCACCUUGUAAUGAAAAUGCCUCGCCUACAGAAUAAGGAUAGAAUUUUAAAGGCCACAAGAGAAAGGAAUCAGAUUACAUACAGGGGGAGACCAAUUUGGAUCUCAACCCAAACCCUCAAAAUUAGGAGAUACUGGAACAACAUAUACCAAGCUCUGAAAUAAAUGGAUGCCAAUGAAGAAUUUUAUAUCCAGGAAAAUUAAGCUUCCAUGAUAAACAAAAAUAAAAACCUUCCAUGAUAAAUAAAAGUUAAAAGAAUUUAUAGUGAGAAAGUUAGCAUUAAUGAACAUUCUUGGCAAAAUAUUCCAUGAGGAGGAAAUGAAAAACAACAAUGAAAAUCAGCAAAGGGAGGAAAGGAAAGGCCUAUUAAAGGAGAAACCAAGUCAAAACCCAAAAGUAAACCAAAAUGACUGGGAAUACAAAACACAUUUCAUAAUAACACUGAAUAUCAAUGGCCUAAAUUCAUGAAUUAAAAGACAUAGACUGGCAGGCUGGAUUAAUAAAUAAGACCCAACAAUAUGCUGCCUUCACGAGACUCACCUCCUAGGAGAAGACAUCUAAAGCCUGAAGGUGAAAGGAUGGGAAAAAGCAGAUCACUCACAUGGACUGCAUAAAUAAGAAGGGGUUUCCAUCCUAACAUCGGAUAAAGUGGACUUCAAACCAAAGUAGUGAAGUGGGAUAAAGAAGGACAUUUCAUACUACUUAAGGCAAUAAUACAUCAAUAAGACAUAAAAAUCAUAAAUAUCUAUAGCCUCAAAGAAUGAAACAUCUAUGUAUAUCAAACAAACACCUCUCAAUUUCGAGAAUCAAAUAGACUACAACAUAAUAGUACUGUGUGACAUUAACACACCACUCUUACCACUGGAUAGAUCUUCCAAACAAAAACUAAACAAAGAAACUAUAGAAUUUAAUAAUACAAUCGAUAAUUUAGACUUAACAGACACAUAUAGAAUAUUUCUUCAAUAGACAAAGGAGUACGCUGUUUUCUCAGCAGCUCAUGAAUCCUUCUCCAAAGUAGACCAUAUGUCAUGCCACAGAGCAAGUCUUCAAAUUUAUUUUUAAAGUAGAGUCCUGUAAAGUGAUAAUUUUAAGAACCGUCCUCUGGGAUGUGUGGACUGCUUUGAGAACUGCCACUAUAGUCUUUAGGUAAUCUGAAACAUUUCCUGUUGGCAAACUGUCUUUGGUCUGAUGUGAGCAUCCAAAGUGUAGUGCAUUUGUGGCAAUCUUUGAAAGAAUAGAUUUCUCAUAUGAUGGAUCAUGAACUAUUACUUUAAUUUUCAUUUUAGUUUUUCUAUCAAUCAUAAUUGGGUAGCACUGGUUACUUAUAUUUGAGAGUGGACUAUUUAUAUCUCAUUCAGAUUACUUAAUUAAUAUUCAAAAAAGUAAAAACAAAAAAAAAAUAAUACACACCUGCAUCAUGUGAUUAUGGCCAUGACUUAACCUCCCUGAGGCUUAUCUCCCUUAUUUCAAACUGUGGAGGACUGAAGCUGGGGUGGAGGGGUUAGAUGGUUACCAAAAGUAACUUCUUUAAAUGUCUAAGAACAUGACAAAAUGAUAGGAUGGUUUUUAGGACUGAGUUUGAGUGCCACAAAAAUAAAUACAAAUGUAAACUUCUGAAGCUG
rnacentral:lncRNA from 1 species